rnacentral:lncRNA from 1 species
GCUGUGUCGCCACAGACCUGUAGUCAGAAGAGUCCACCUAAGAGUCGAGCCUGGAAGAUCCCAGCUCGGGAGGGCCUGGAGAGCGGCGCCGGCUGGAUGAGCCCAGUGUCUCCAGCAGCAGGAGUUCGACAGGAUCCUGGAUGGCCAUCUUUCUUCUGAUGGUGAUAGGUUGGAUGCUAGGAUAAAAUCCUGCCCAGACACCUUCCCCAACUCUAUCUAGCCCUUA